rnacentral:snoRNA from 1 species
GAAGCAGGUGAUGAGAACAUGACAGGGACAUCAGUACCCUCUGUUUUGGAGAUGGGAAUGAUCGACUAAGUCUACAAUGGGAAUCUCUCUGAUGCUUU